CUUUUGUUCUAUUCAUUUAGUAUGCUUUUUAGUUAAAAUGGUUUUUUUUGUUAAAUUGGUAUAACUCCUCAUUUUGGUCUCUGAUAUUUAAAAUCGAUAGAAAUGGUCCUGAGAUUGUCCACCGUCAACAAUUCUGGUCAUUUUGUGAAAAGUCUCCAUUAAAUUGAGAUUGUCCACAAUUGGAAGUUUCUUCAACCCCUCCCCUUGAACUGAUGUUUUCUUCAAUUUAAAGAAGUGGUCUUGAGAUUGUCCACCGUCAACAAUUUUGAUCCUUCUGUGAAAAUUCUUCGUUAAAUUGAGAUUGUCCACCAUGGGUAGUUUCUUCAACCCCUCCCUUGAACUGGUGUUUUCUUCAAUUUAAAAAAGUGGUCCUGAGGUUGUCCACCGUUAACAAUUUUGGUUAUUCUGUAAAAAAUCUCCGUUAAAUUCAGAUUGUCCACCAUGAGUAGUUUCUUCAACCCCUCCCCUUGAACUGGUGUUUUCUUCAAUUUAACGGAGAUUUUUUAACACAAUGACCAAAAUGAUUGACAAUGGACAAUCUCAACGACCAUUUUUUUCAAUUUUAAUAAAUGGGAAAAUGUAGCAUUUACUCAAUAGUUUUACACUUGAAAGAAAUAAUUUAGGGGUCAUUUGAUAACUAUUUUGUUUUUCGGUUUUUAAUUUUUUUUAAAAAAAAUGAAAACUAAAAGCACAAAAAAAAGCCAGAACGUAAAUUCUAAACGCCAAAUUUUGAAAACUCUACGGUCGUUUAAUAAUACUUUCCUUUUUAGUUUUCUUUUUUUUUUUAAAUUGAAAUCUUGUUGGGUAACUACUUUCAGUUUCAAAAAAUUGAAAAGUAAAAAAUAAAAAUUGAAGGGUAAAUUUUGAAAACUCAAGAAAGUAGUUUGAUCGAAAGUAAUUACUAAACAAGAUUUCAAUUUUUAAAAAAGAUGAAACAAAAACUAAAAACUAAAAAAACGAAAUAACUGUCAAAUGGCACUUAAGAAAGUAGUUUUCAAUUUUCAUUAUUUUUGAAAAGUGAGAAUUGAAAAUAGUUCCAAAAUAAAUUCAAUUUUCAGUUUAAAUAAAUGAAAAAAUAACCAAAAAAUGAAAACAAAAUGAUUUUCAAACACCUCUUAACUUUUCACUUCAACGUGGGAAAUAAACUUGAAAUUUCAACUUAUUUCAAUAAACUUGGACAAAAGAAAGACCAUGAAUUUUGGAAGCUCGCUCGAGCUGCUUGUAUAAUUAAGAAGCAAGCCUCAAGCUCGAAAAAAACUAACAACCCAAGCUUGAGUAUAGUGAUGCUAGGUUUGGAUCGGUUGUUUCCAGCCCUAGUUAGGGAUCACGAAAAAGAGAGGUAGUGACUGUGGUAGCAAAAUUCCGCCGUCUUUGAUCAAGUACCAAAACCUCAUGUGCUCACGAGGUGGGGGGUGGUUUGGCCAAUAAAUCUCUGAUGCUUAAGUUAGCUUCUUUGAAAAGAAUGAGUGUUUAGGAUUUUUAUGCGUAGCAAAAAUGUACCAAAGUUUGGUGGAGAUUAAGUAUUUAUGAGGAAGUGGCCGACCUAGGUGUAGAGUUUUAUAUCCUACACAUGGCGACUUCCCAUUGGCCAAGGUUAUAUCAUCUGUAGGAUGAAUGCGGAAAUAAUAUUACCACGAUAUUAAUUAGGAGAUAAUAUCUUGAGAUAAUGAUAGAAGCAUCAUUGAUUGAUUGUGAUAGGGAUUCCUUACUUGAUUGAGUUGAUCUUCAAUUGGGAAUGCAUUAAAGGUAGGAUUUGGUGAUUAAUUAUAUAUUUAAUACCAGUUACUUUUUCAUGGCACGUGAAGAAGAGCUGCCUGUAAAAAUAUUUGUGUACCUUGCCCACUUAAUGAGGCAAUCUCGUCUUCUUCGGAAAAAAAAAAAAAAAAGUCCAUGUGUCGUCUUUAGGAUUUUUAGGAUUAUUUUUUACUCCACAGGGGUAGUUUGGUAAAACGAUAGGCUAAAAAGAUAUAAAUAUCUAUUUUUUCAGUUCUUAAUUAUAUUUAAUUCAUUCAAUAUGGCCAAUCUUUUUUUUUUUUUUGGUCAAACGAUAGAUUUUGUUAGGUUAGGUGUUAAAUUAGCCACUGACGAGGUUCGAACCCACGCCGUCAUGCAAUGACUCAACUCUUUUCCACUAAUGUUAGGGAGAUCAACUUUGUAGACCAUAUUUAUAAAACAAAUGGUGGCUGCAGAUGCAGCUAUGCCACAUCCUUAAUUAAAGGCUUUUUAGCCAAAAUGCUCACUGAGAUUUGCAUAAUUUAUCACUUUGGUCCUUGAAAUUUGAAAUCGAUAGAAUUGGUCCCUGAGUUUGUCCACAAUUAAAUCAUUUUGGCCAUUCCAUGAAAAAUCUCCAUAAAAUAAGGAUAAAAUGACAAAAAUACCCUCAAUUUUUGUCAAAUCAUUUUGGCCUAUUGUUUAUUAUAUUGAGGGUACUUUUAUCACUUUGAUCCUUAUUUAACAUAAUUUUUCACCGAAUGACCAAAAUGAUUGAUGAUGGACACUCUCAGGGACCAACUAUUGAUGAUAGGCACUCUUAGAGACCACUACUAUUGAUUUCAAAUCUCAGGGACGAAAGUGAAGAGUUAGGCAAAUCUAAGGGACCAUUUUGACUAAAAAGCCUUAAUUAAAUUGAAGUUUGAAAAAGUCUUAGUUAUUAUUAAUCAGUUUUUAGGAAUAAAUUAUUAUUUUGAA